UUUUUCUCUCCAUUUUCACCUAUUUUCUCCCUUUUCUAACCACCACCUUUUCUCUUUUCAUUCCUUUUCCUCCCUUUCUCCAUUGUGAUCGGCCAUAACACCAUCUAGCACCGCACCUUUUCACCAAAAUCACACCACCCUUUCUUCGCAGCUUUUCCUCCCAUCGUCGCUGUGAUUGUUGUCGUGUGCCACCACAAGUUCCUUUCCUCAUCCAUUUUAUCCUUUUUUUUAUCUUCUUCUCCACCCUUAUUGAGUCGAACAUAUAUAGUUCUUUCCUACAUCUAUCACUGGACCACCACUCCCUUGUCAUCGAGCCACCGUUGGACUGCUGUCGUCGCCGUCACCG
rnacentral:lncRNA from 1 species